UGCAAGUCGGACGGUGAACCGCUUUCGGGUGGGGAUCAGUGGCGAACGGGUGAGUAACACGUGAGUAACCUGCCCUUCACUCUGGGAUAACUCCGGGAAACCGGUGCUAAUACUGGAUAUGACCUACUCGGGCAUCCGAUGUGGGUGGAAAGAUUUAUUGGUGAGGGAUGGACUCGCGGCCUAUCAGCUUGUUGGUGAGGUAAUGGCUUACCAAGGCGACGACGGGUAGCCGGCCUGAGAGGGCGAUCGGCCACACUGGGACUGAGACACGGCCCAGACUCCUACGGGAGGCAGCAGUGGGGAAUAUUGCACAAUGGGCGAAAGCCUGGUGCAGCGACGCCGCGUGAGGGAUGAAGGCCUUCGGGUUGUAAACCUCUUUCAGCAGGGAAGAAGCGAAAGUGACGGUACCUGCAGAAGAAGCACCGGCUAACUACGUGCCAGCAGCCGCGGUAAUACGUAGGGUGCAAGCGUUGUCCGGAAUUAUUGGGCGUAAAGAGCUUGUAGGCGGUUUGUCGCGUCUGCUGUGAAAUUUCGGGGCUCAACCCCGAACUUGCAGUGGGUACGGGCAGACUAGAGUGUGGUAGGGGAGACUGGAAUUCCUGGUGUAGCGGUGAAAUGCGCAGAUAUCAGGAGGAACACCGAUGGCGAAGGCAGGUCUCUGGGCCACUACUGACGCUGAGAAGCGAAAGCAUGGGGAGCGAACAGGAUUAGAUACCCUGGUAGUCCAUGCCGUAAACGUUGGGAACUAGGUGUGGGCCUCAUUCCACGAGGUCCGUGCCGCAGCUAACGCAUUAAGUUCCCCGCCUGGGGAGUACGGCCGCAAGGCUAAACUCAAAGGAAUUGACGGGGGCCCGCACAAGCGGCGGAGCAUGCGGAUUAAUUCGAUGCAACGCGAAGAACCUUACCAAGGCUUGACAUGUGCCGGAAAGU
rnacentral:rRNA from 1 species